rnacentral:rRNA from 1 species
CAGCCCCUCGAGUGGUGGGGAUGAUUAUUUGGCCUAAAGCGUCCGUAGCCGGCCGAGUAAGUCUUCCGUUAAAUCCAGCGUCUCAAGCGUUGGACCGCGGGAGAUACUACAUGGCUAGAGAGUGGGAGAGGUCAGCGGUAUUCUGGGGGUAAGGGCGAAAUCUUUUGAUCCCCGGAGGACCACCAGUGGCGAAGGCUGCUGACUAGAACACGUCUGACGGUCAGGGACGAAAGCUGGGGUAGCGAACCGGAUUAGAUACCCGUGUAGUCC